CAUUACAGUGAUGACUCAAAAAAUUUCAAGCUCAACAGACCAGAAUGCAGGUUUCUCUCUUUUGGAAGAAGUUUGUAUUGACUACCCCACUGAACUAAGCGAUA
rnacentral:snoRNA from 1 species